rnacentral:other from 1 species
AUGCCCCUCAUUCGGAGAACUAUGGAAAAAGCAAUCCGGAACCAACACUUUAAUUUCGGGAGCCCUGGCUAAGCGGUGAGCAUACCCUCCAUGGCAUUUUCCGCAAUGCUAUGAAGAGGGGAGCCUAAAGUGGAUCAGAUGGGCGCCCACCUGGAGAACCAGGUUCAAUUGUAUGACCAUAGCGCGAAUGGGGGGUUUU